rnacentral:lncRNA from 1 species
CUUACUCUUUCAUCAACAACAUUAACAUAUUUUUCGAGAUGAUCUUGAUAACCUUGAUCUAUAAACCACAACUCAAUAGAAGCGACCCAAGAGACAUAAUUAGUACUACAUUAGAGUUUGACAAUAGUAAUAGUAGGAGAAUUAAAGAAUGCAGAGAAAAGGGGAUUAGUAGAACUUGAAAGAUCCAAAAAUAAAAGAGAAGGAAAAUUAAUUAAAAAUAGAAGUUAUGGUUGAAAUAGUAUGGGUAGAACACCGUUGGGGGUAACGGAAUGGUAGCCGAAGGGUGCCACACGCGCUCUCACGUGUUAGCGUAUAGGAGAGGAGUAGAAAACUUGUAGUGGCGCAUGAGGGCUACUGCGUUGAUUUUGGUAAUGGGGUUUUAAUUGAAGGGUCAACAGGGACUAGGCAACUCAAUGGUAGGGGCGAUCAAAGUUGUUGUCUUUGGUACCAUGUAAAGUUGAUAGAGAGAGAUGGGUGAAUAAGAAUUUAGUAAAUUUUUUGUAGUGGCUAUUACAACUACGAAAAUUUAGAAGAAAAAAGAGAAAAGUAAGGGAAAUAGAGAGGAGAAAAGAGAAUAAAAAUUUUAAUAUGUUUCAUCUAUACUAGAGGUGAUCAUGGGUUGGGCUACCCGGCUAGGCCCGACAGCCCGCCCAAAAAAUGAGAGGGUUCGGGUAAAAAUAUAGGCUCAAAAUAUGGGUUUGGACAAAAAAACGAGGCAUGUUUAGAAAACAAGCUGGGCCUCGGGUAAAACUUUUUUGGCCCGGGCCCAGCCCGG